rnacentral:rRNA from 1 species
GACGAACGCUGGCGGCGUGCUUAACACAUGCAUGUCGAACGGAAAGGCCCUGCUUUUGUGGGGUGCUCGAGUGGCGAACGGGUGAGUAACACGUGAGUAACCUGCCCUUGACUUUGGGAUAACUUCAGGAAACUGGGGCUAAUACCGGAUAGGAGCUCCUGCUGCAUGGUGGGGGUUGGAAAGUUUCGGCGGUUGGGGAUGGACCCGCGGCUUAUCAGCUUGUUGGUGGGGUAGUGGCUUACCAAGGCUUUGACGGGUAGCCGGCCUGAGAGGGUGACCGGCCACAUUGGGACUGAGAUACGGCCCAGACUCCUACGGGAGGCAGCAGUGGGGAAUAUUGCACAAUGGGCGGAAGCCUGAUGCAGCAACGCCGCGUGCGGGAUGACGGCCUUCGGGUUGUAAACCGCUUUCGCCUGUGACGAAGCGUGAGUGACGGUAAUGGGUAAAGAAGCACCGGCUAACUACGUGCCAGCAGCCGCGGUGAUACGUAGGGUGCGAGCGUUGUCCGGAUUUAUUGGGCGUAAAGGGCUCGCAGGUGGUUGAUCGCGUCGGAAGUGUAAUCUUGGGGCUUAACCCUGAGCGUGCUUUCGAUACGGGUUGACUUGAGGAAGGUAGGGGAGAAUGGAAUUCCUGGUGGAGCGGUGGAAUGCGCAGAUAUCAGGAGGAACACCAGUGGCGAAGGCGGUUCUCUGGGCCUUUCCUGACGCUGAGGAGCGAAAGCGUGGGGAGCGAACAGGCUUAGAUACCCUGGUAGUCCACGCUGUAAACGGUGGGUACUAGGUGUGGGGUCCAUUCCACGGGUUCCGUGCCGUAGCUAACGCUUUAAGUACCCCGCCUGGGGAGUACGGCCGCAAGGCUAAAACUCAAAGGAAUUGACGGGGCCCCGCACAAGCGGCGGAGCAUGCGGAUUAAUUCGAUGCAACGCGUAGAACCUUACCUGGGUUUGACAUGGAUCGGGAGUGCUCAGAGAUGGGUGUGCCUCUUUUGGGGUCGGUUCACAGGUGGUGCAUGCCUGUCGUCAGCUCGUGUCGUGAGAUGUUGGGUUAAGUCCCGCAACGAGCGCAACCCUUGUUCACUGUUGCCAGCACGUUAUGGUGGGGACUCAGUGGAGACCGCCGGGGUCAACUCGGAGGAAGGUGGGGAUGACGUCAAGUCCUCAUGCCCCUUAUGUCCAGGGCUUCACGCAUGCUACAAUGGCUGGUACAGAGAGUGGCGAGCCUGUGAGGGUGAGCGAAUCUCGGAAAGCCGGUCUCAGUUCGGAUUGGGGUCUGCAACUCGACCUCAUGAAGUCGGAGUCGCUAGUAAUCGCAGAUCAGCAACGCUGCGGUGAAUACGUUCCCGGG